rnacentral:rRNA from 1 species
GAUGAACGCUGGCGGCGUGCCUAAUACAUGCCAGUCGAGCGAACAGACGAGGAGCUUGCUCCUCUGACGUUAGCGGCGGACGGGUGAGUAACACGUGGAUAACCUACCUAUAAGACUGGGAUAAUUACGGGAAACCGGCGCAAAUCCGGGAUAAUAUAUUGAACCGCAUGGUUCAUUGGUAAAAGACGGUUUUGCGGUCAGUACUAGAGGGAUCUCCGCCGGAUUAGCUAGUUGUUACGGUAACGGCUUAUGACGGGUACGAUGCGUAGCCGAACGGAGGGGGGGAUCGGCCACACUGGAACGUAGCCACGGUCCAGGCUCCUACGGGAGGCAGCAGUAGGGAAUCUUCCGCAAUGGGCGAAAGCUUGACGGAGCAACGCCGCGUGAGUGAUGAAGGUCUUCGGAUCGUAAAACUCUGUUAUUAGGGAAGAACAAAUGUGUAAGGAACUAUGCACGUCUUGACGGUACCUAAUCAGAAAGCCACGGCUAACUACGUG